CCUGGUGCAGUCCCUUUCCAGGGGCAGGUGCCACCCUGCAGGCCCCUCCCCCACAAGCUUCUUUUGUUUCCUGGACUUCGGGCGUGAGAAGGACGUUGGCCUGGGGUUCGUCUUAUUUCGUGAAGGUCGUGGGGCACUCCUGAAUGCUUUAUGAAUGUCUCAGAAGCUAAUGCCGGCAGCACCAUGGCGACCUAUGAAAAAGCUGGGAGGAGAGUCAGGAGAGCUUGGCACGGAGCGCGGGGCCGCCGGGUGCUCAGCCUGGCUCUGUGGCACACUCUGCCCGCACGGCCUCCCGCAGCGCCCACCGGGCAUCACAGACUGAACCACCGGAGUCCCCGCUUCCUCUGACGCUCAGCUGACAUCCAGAAAGGGUCCACACCUCAGGCCCAGUGUCUGCUCAGCACAUUAACACCCCGGCAAGGUUUGCACCGGGAAACGCCUCCCCACCGUGCCUCAGUGUCUUCCUCCAGAGCCGGUGAGGGCUGGGGCCCAGCAGUCUGCAGUGCUGGCCUUCUGGGACCUUCCGUGACUGAAGGAGACUUUGAUACGCCAGAGCUUUGAAGAAGAAAGCCGCCUGUUUCUCGGGGACAGACUUUCUUAAUCUGAGCUCCGUGUAUAUCUUCCGCGAGAUAUUCUUACACAUUUUUGAUCACCGCAGCGAUGCUAAGUGUUCUGUCUAGCGAGCCUUCAGAUUUUUAUUAACUUUUCUUCUUUUCAUUUUGAAGUAGGUAUCAGAUUGGGCGUGGGGAAGGAGGAGGAUGCUUUUCCUGGGACGAGAUGAAGUUAACUUUGAGCAGACUCCUGCAUUGAUAAGCUCAACAGCUAAAAAAUUGGCUCCCAGUCCCCUGCAGUCUCCAAUCAUUGCCAUGCAAAUUUGAAAGGCAAGAGCCACGGGAGCCCGGCAGCUGGAGUCGGUCUGCAUGGAAAUGGGAACGGAAGCCACAUUCCCGUGUUAGACAGCCAGGUUCCCGGCAGAGCAAAAGGGAAAAUUCCCUUCUCUGUCAAAGCUGUCAAAUGACUCACCCAGGGGGCAUGGCAGCCUCUUAGCUCCUCUCUCUCCAGUUACCUGCAGGGGCAGGAGGUGGGUUGUUCUGGACGCUGCCCACCUGUCCACUGCACGCAGGGCUGACCCUGUCAGGGACAGAUGCCCAGGCUGGCACAGGCCACCUCACCCCUUUCAGGGAAGGAGAAGGUGGAAGGGCAGAGUUCUGCGCAGGUCUCCCCUGAGUUUCCCCUUCCCGGGCCCUUCUCUGGCCUUGGGAGAGAGGAGGCUCCCGGGUUGCAGGAUCUCGCCCCACAAAGACAUGUGAGCUUGGGUGAUGUCAUCCCAUCAGCUCUGGCUUCUGCCGCCUCCUGACAAAUGUAACUCGGAUUUUGCUUUGUUUUUGAAUUUCACAUCAUUAAUAUUUUUUCUUUCCAAACUUCCUGUCAUCGAGUGUCUGGAUGUUCAAAGAUUUGUCCCUGAGUCAAUUUCUGGCAUACGCACUAUGAUAGAGACUCUGAGAGUGGGGAGAGGCAUUUGGUGUCACCUCAUCCCCUCCCUCAGCUCAUAGGUCAGGACACCGAGAGCCAGAGAGAACACGGUCACCACAAAGUCACCUGGGGACUCAGAGGCUAAGUUGCAGCUUUGUGGCAGGGCACGGAGAAGGGCCAAGCCAGUCCUUCUGAUCUGCUGUCAUCCAUCCAUCCAACAGCCUGGGAGAGAGGUGCGGGCCCUGUGAUGGGAUCUGGCCAGAUGGAAGGCGCGAAACUGUAUUCCUCCCAUUGGGGGUGCAGGGGCUUCAGGAGUGAGGAUGAGUGACGGUCGUUUUUUUUUUUUUUUUUUUUUAACUGCUCGAGUCAUUUAUUUGGAAUGGACACACUGAUGCAAAAACAAAAUAUUAAGACAAAACGGUGUCAUGACAAAGACCCAUCAAAAUAAAUACAUAGAUAGUCCA